AGGUGGGAGGCCAGAGGCAGAGAGACAGUCUCCUGUUUAAGACACUGUUCUUUUUUGUCUCUGUGCCAGCUUGGGGACUGUGUCCUGGCUCCUCGCAGUGGCUGGCCUGUACCCACCUAGCCACUGGUCACUGUUGGGACGUCCAGGACCCUGACCCUACAUUCCUCACUCCCAAGCCAGGGGGCAGCAGGCUCCUACAGUCAUGCAGGUGCAAGGACAAUAAGGACCCUGUGGCAGCCAACACGGGUACAGAGCUAAAUAAAAGCAUGAAGUCUUCUUCACAUGCUGACCAAAUAGAAGAAGAAUGAAUAAAUGAAGCCAACACCAGGUAAGUCACCAUAAAAUUUCAGAUAAUCAAGGAUAAAGAGAAGAUCCCAAAAGCUUCUUAGAGAAAAAAAACAGGUAGCCUCUGUCUUAGUCCACUGAGGCUGAGAUAACAAAACUACUGUAAACUGGGUAGUUUAUAAACAACAGAAAUGUAUUUCUAUCAGUUCUGGAGUCCAGGAAGUCCAAGAUCAAGGAGCAGGCAGAUUCAGCCUAGUGAGGGCUCACCCUCGGGCUCACAGAUGAUGCCUGCCAUAGAUGGAUGUUUGACCCUCCCAAGCUCUUGUGGAAAUGGGGAGGUGGAGCCUGGUGGGACGUGUCUGGGUCAAGGAGGUGGUUUCCUCGUGAAUAGAUUAGUGCCCUCCUGGGAGAAAGGGGAUGAAUUCUCACACUGUGAGCUCCCUAGAGACCUGGUUGUCAAAAAGAGCCUGGCACCUCCCCCCAACCUCGCUUUCUCUCUCACAGUGUGACCUCUGCACAUAACGAUUCUCCUUCACCUCCACAUAAUGAUUCUCCUUCACCUCCACCAUAAGUGGAAGCUUUCUGAGCCCUCACCAGGAGCAAAUGCUUCCUGUACAUGCAUUUGCUGUACAGGUGCCAUGCUUCCUGUACAGGUGCCAUGCUUCCUGUACAGCCUGCAGAACUGUGGGCCAAAUACACCUCUUUUCUUUAUCAUUUACCCAGUCUCCGGUAUUCCUUUAUAGCAAUGCAAAUGGACUAAGACAGCGUCUUCUCGCUGUGUUCUCACAUGGUGGGAGGGAGGAGGGGUUAUCUGGGGCCUCCUUUAUAAGGGCAUGAAUCCGCUCAGGAGGGCUCUACCAUGUGACCUCAUCACCUCUCAAAGGUCCUACUUUCUAAUACCAUCACCUUGGGGGUUAGGAUUUCAACAUGUGAGUUUUGGGGGGACACAAAUAUUCAGACCAUAGCACCUACAAAGGAAUAAACUUCCAGUUGGUAUCAAACAUCUCAUAGCAACACUGGAUGCCAGAUGACAGUGGAGCAAUACCUUCAAGUUCUGAGCAGAAAUCAUUUUGAAUCUAGAAUUCCAUAACUAUCAAUAAAGUGUGACAGCAAAUUAAAGAUGUUUUUAGACAUGGAAA